ACGAGGCCUAAGUCAGCGAAUUUCUUGUACGGUCGGUGUCGAGGUAGUGUUGAUGUAAGGAGAUGAAGGAUGCUUGUUAUGACAUGAGGCUAAGAUGAGGCCAGCCUUAUCGCCGUCGCUGAUGGAUAACGAUGGAAAGAGUAGGAACCCAGGCAGUAACUGAGGACGAUAGGGACACUUGGCUGAGGACACUCGUGCAGGGAAGACGUGUGUCGGUGCAGAUACAGAAGUAGAUAGGCCUAUCUAGAGCACCUGUCAGAAAGGGCGUGCGCGUUGCUUAAUUAACGAUUACCCCAAGACCCAAACACGUUUUGACCGAAUUCAAGCGGAUUCAAUCGGAUACAAUAAAUGAUUGGUGUCACCGUGUGGGUCUGAAGCAACCUUUGCCGCCUGCUAGCGGUAACACGCAUGAUGUGGGCGAUCCCUGGCGCACAUCGAGCGUCACCGUGCCGAUGUCAAUUACCAAUUGACAUUUGCAUGAUAUGACCAAUAGAUCCCCUCAGACCAGCAUUUACAUCCUUCAGGAAACCAAACCCUCAUUGUGGCAGGACAUUCCUGUUCACGUCUGCACUAAACCUCCCCUUCCCCUCCCUUGGAAUUAAUAGAAUAUUUGCUGCCUCUGACACCUCGUUCUGAUCCUCACCUGACCUCUCCCUUUGACAAUAACUAAUUCAUUCUCAUUUGGACACACACACACACACACACACACAUACACUCACUUUUGAAUUAUUGUUUAUAUAUCUGUUUACGAUGUGGCGACCCACUGAACAAGAGCUUGUGACACAGUAUUGGCUCCCAACCCGUACUUUGAAGGACUCUGCAUUAGGGGAUGGUCAGUGAACAAUGGACAGAUGGAUUUGUGGCAGCGAGCGAAGCUAGACAGCCAGCCAACCAGCAGCUGCAGCAAUACCCACCUAACACUGUUGCUUCAACUUGUUAAAUAAACCUCAUCCGGCAAGCUUCUUUUGGCUGCAAAUUCCUCUCGUGUUAUGCUCUAUGGUAUUCAUAACCUACUUUUGUUUUUAGUCCGGUUCACACUAUGUACCGUCCCUUAUGCAUCGCUUUCCAUGACGGUCUACCUUAUAUAAUAUUUGAGGUUCAAGUGUCACACAAAGACACCGUACUUGCAUAAGCCUUACCUGAAGACGUCUCCUCCCAUCCCGUCUGUCACUGACGGCGAGUUACGUCAACAGAGCUGCAUUGUUACAUAGUUCAAAAAAACAUCUACCACUUGUUUAGGAUAUAUGACACCACACGCAGCACACAAAACAUACCCACUGCCAUUCCUUUCGGGAAAAAGUGUUAUGUCAUCAAGCACGUAAGUGUAUAAUAUAUGCAGUGAAAGUGUAACAUUGUUGUAAUAUACUGCAGCAGCUCAAAGGUGCAUUGUUCCUUUAGCUGGGUAUAGUCACCGCUAGUUCCCUCGCUCCCAGCAUCCCAAGGCAGGGCACACACUCAGUAUCAAGGGAUAAUAUAUACUCGUACACAUGCAUCUCAUUCCAUGUCUCGAGUGUUAUGUAUCUCCUUUCACCUUAACUUAGCGUUUUUCCUUUUUUUUUUUAUUUAUUUAUUUUUUUAUGUUUAUGUGAACACAUACUAUCUCCUUUCACCAUUAACUGUAAUUUUGAUAUGCUUAAUGCAGGAAAUAUAGGUGUUAAAGACUUGUUCAUAUUAUCAGAUACUUAUAAGCUUGUAAGGCUCUUCACCAUUUGUACUAUAUGUUUUCAGUUCAUAAUUCUUGUUUGAAGAAUUUACUUCAUGUCUAUCCUCAGCAAUUUCUGCAGAUGGAAUGACUGUAACAAUUUGAGUAGACACUUGAUGGUUAAACUUACUUUACCUGAAAGUUGAUGAUUCAUUGAUAUUUCAUUACUGUCAGGGGUUUGGUUUCCUCCCAUCCUAAAUGACCAUUGCCAUCAUUGGUCCCACCUUUAUAAGAGCAGCAUUUUUUCUGGUCUCAGUAAUUACAUCAGUGACACCAUGUAGCCUAUCGUUCCUCAAGGUACCUUACUCAAACAGGCAAGUUUCACAAGUAAUUUUUAUUGUAACAUGGAAUAUUCACAGUACAGUACGUAUGUACAAAAAAAUAUAUUUACAUGUACAUGAGCAUCAUAGCAAGGUAUGUCCAACAUGGCUUUUACAGUCAGAUCAGAUAUGUAUACAGUAGCAUACUAAUGGUUUCUCAAACUACAAAAUACACUUCUGUAGUGUUUUUUUUUUUUUUUAAUACCUGAAAUUUACUUACACGUAUGUAUAACAUUUAUUUUUGUUUGGUCACCUGUUUUAUUUAAGUGACAGCUAUAACCCGUCUGCCAUACUAUCUUCCUGACUCAAACCUUGUGACAAAAUAAUGGACCUUUUCAAAUCAAGUUAACUGUGAGUGAUGUAAUAUUGUGUGGUUCACCCUAACUUGGAUAGAUCCUGAGUUUCUGCAUUUUGAUCUCAAAGAACACAGAUUGAUAGUAAUAUUUCAGCAUUCACAACAAGAUUCAGUGUUGCCCUCAUAAUAUCUGUUGCUCUUGGUAGUACUACAGUAUGUAUCACUUUCAUUCAACAGGGACAGAUGCUGCUGCCCUUGGAAAUUUUCAGUUAUCAAAUAAAACAUGCCAAAGUGAUGGUCUUUCCCAAAAAAAACACAAUGACUUUCAUUUGGCUAUAAAACUAGUGUGCACUCUCAAAUGGUCCAUAACAUGCACAGCACACACAAUACCUAUCUUGAGGCAGCAGUCAAGUGGUCAUUGCUAAACAGUAUACAGAAGUGGCAUCUGUGGAGUACGGGAUUAAAUACACUCUGAGGUCAUCCUACACUAAGUCUAUAUAGGAA